UACGUAGGGUGCUAGCGUUGUCCGGAAUCAUUGGGCGUAAAGCGCGUGUAGGCGGUUCGGUAAGUCUGCUGUGAAAGUCGGGGGCUCAACCCUCGGAUGCCGGUGGAUACUGCCGGGCUAGAGUACGGAAGAGGAGAGUGGAAUUCCUGGUGUAGCGGUGAAAUGCGCAGAUAUCAGGAAGAACACCCGUGGCGAAAGCGGCUCUCUGGGACGGUACUGACGCUGAGACGCGAAAGCGUGGGGAGCGAACAGG
rnacentral:rRNA from 1 species